rnacentral:tRNA from 20 species
GCCAGUGUGAUGGAAUUGGUAGACAUGACGGAUUCAAAAUCCGUUGCUAGCGAUAGCGUGGCGGUUCAAGUCCGCCCACUGGUACCA